CCUACGGGGUGCAGCAGUGAGGAAUAUUGGUCAAUGGGCGCGAGCCUGAACCAGCCAAGUAGCGUGAAGGAUGACUGCCCUACGGGUUGUAAACUUCUUUUGCCGGGGAGCAACGGGCGCCACGUGUGGCGCCACUGAGAGUACCCGGAGAAAAAGCAUCGGCUAACUCCGUGCCAGCAGCCGCGGUAAUACGGAGGAUGCGAGCGUUAUCCGGUUUUAUUGGGUUUAAAGGGUGCGUAGGCGGAGCUUUAAGUCAGUGGUCAAAUUUAGGGGCCCACCCCGUUCCCGCCAUUGAAACUGGCGCUCUUGAGUGGAAGAGAAGUAUGCGGAAUGCGUGGUGUAGCGGUGAAAUGCAUAGAUAUCACGCAGAACCCCGAUUGCGAAGGCAGCAUGCCGGCUUCCUACUGACGUUGAAGCACGAAAGCGUGGGGAUCGAACAGGAUUAGAUACCCGGGUAGUC
rnacentral:rRNA from 1 species